AUCCCCCAAACCAAGGGGGGGAUGAGAACCACCGACCGGGGUUCGACAACUGGCGCAGCCAGUUGGACAGACGACGAGCUUGCGAGGAGACUGCCCGAAGGGCGAGCGCAGCGAGUCAAUCCCCCCCUCACCGCCA
rnacentral:sRNA from 4 species